GACGAACGCUGGCGGCGUGCUUAACACAUGCAAGUCGAACGGAAAGGCCCUGCUUUUGUGGGGUGCUCGAGUGGCGAACGGGUGAGUAACACGUGAGUAACCUGCCCUUGACUUUGGGAUAACUUCAGGAAACUGGGGCUAAUACCGGAUAGGAGCUCCUGCUGCAUGGUGGGGGUUGGAAAGUUUCGGCGGUGGGGGAUGGACUCGCGGCUUAUCAGCUUGUUGGUGGGGUAGUGGCUUACCAAGGCUUUGACGGGUAGCCGGCCUGAGAGGGUGACCGGCCACAUUGCGACUGAGAUACGGCCCAGACUCCUACGGGAGGCAACAGUGGGGAAUAUUGCACAAUGGGCGGAAGCCUGAUGCAGCAACGCCGCGUGCGGGAUGACGGCCUUCGGGUUGUAAACCGCUUUCGCCUGUGACGAAGCGUGAGUGACGGUAAUGGGUAAAGAAGCACCGGCUAACUACGUG
rnacentral:rRNA from 1 species